rnacentral:rRNA from 1 species
UACAGAGGUGGCAAGCGUUGUUCGGAAUUACUGGGCGUAAAGGGCGCGUAGGCGGCCUACUAAGUCAGACGUGAAAUCCCCCGGCUUAACCUGGGAACUGCGUCUGAUACUGGAAGGCUUGAGGAUGGGAGAGGGAUGUAGAAUUCCAGGUGUAGCGGUGAAAUGCGUAGAUAUCGUAAGGAAGACCAGUGGCGAAGGCGAGUCUCUGGACAGUUACUGACACUGAGGCACGAAGGCCAGGGGAGCAAACGGG